CAAUAGCGUAUAUUUAAGUUGUUGCAGUUAAGAAGCUCGUAGUUGGAUUUCGGGUGGGACGCAGCGGUCUCGCAUUGCGUUUGUACUGCUGCAGCCCUCCUUCUUGCCGGGGGCGGCCUCUCGGACUUCACUGUCUGGGGGUCAGAAUCGGCGAUGUUACUUUGAGUAAAUUAGAGUGUUCAAAGCAAGCUUACGCUCUGAAUAUAAUAGCAUGGGAUAACACGACAGGACUCUGGCCUAUCGUGUUGGUCUAUAGGACCAGAGUAAUGAUUAAGAGGGACAGUCGGGGGCAUUCGUAUUCCGUUGUCAGAGGUGAAAUUCUUGGAUUUACGGAAGACGAACAUCUGCGAAAGCAUUUGCCAAGGAUGUUUNCAUUGA
rnacentral:rRNA from 1 species